UGGAAACUUGGAGUUUGUGCAGACAAAGCACGGGGACCAGCAUUGAGGAGAACAGCAAAGGAAUUCCAGUUCCAUCUGCUGAAGUUUUGCAUGUCUUGAGAGGGUUGCAGAGAGCUGAUGUCCAGCAUUUCAUCACCAAUGUUGUUGAACAUUUUGAAUCAUCCAGCUGUUACCAUGUUGGAAAUGAAUGUUUCGAGACUUCUAACAACAACACAUGGGCACCAAAUAGUGAGCCAUAUUGGGGUGUAAAGGAGUCUGAUGAGCCUCAAGUACUCUCUCUUCCUCAAAUAUCCCCUUUGAGGAGGUCACCAAGAAAACGACAACGUGCCACAUUGCUUCCCCUAUCAGAAGACCUUCAAACACAUGAGAUACCUUCUCAAAAGUCUUCCUUGAGGAGGUCACCAAGAAAACAUGCUACCACCACCAUCCUUCUACCUGUAGAUGAUAACAGCAUUUCAUCA